GUGAUGUGGAGGGGGCCUUGGGGUCCCUGAGAAGCACUCACACGUCCUCCUCUGGUUAGUGUCUGCUAAGGCUCUCCCGCCCUCCCCCCUCCCAGCCCCUGUUUCCGGCGCUGUCAGAAUCAGGGGAGCUCGUGACGCCUGCCCUCCCAGCACGACUGAACCUUCCAGCAAGGGCUUGAGAAGCGUGUGUGAGCAGCCUCUGGGCCCCGGGACGGAUGCACAGACUAGGUCCCUCGUUUUGUAUUGUGGGUGAGGGCUGCCAGUGCAGCUGUCGGGUCCACGUGUUGGCUGUGAGUCUUCCCUUCUCUUUAGGAACUGACCUCAGUAGCCUAAGGGACAGUAACCUACUUAGAGCUGGAAAAUCCAAGCCGGUCAGCCACGGAGAACACAGAUGCAGGCGCCUCUCCCCGCGGUGUCGUGCAGACCAUGACCCUCGGGGCCCGCAAAUGGGAGACCCGACCCGGCCCCGCCUCUCCUGCAGCCUCAUCUGACACCCCCCUGCGCCCCUCCCCGCCUUUCGGCUCUGGCACUGCAUGUCCCCUGGCUAACAGGCCCUGGAGAACUGUCACUCAUUCUUCAAGAGCCAGCGUGGAGCCACGUCUUCUCCCGCAGAAGGGCCGGUUGCUCCUGUCCUGGCGUGGAGAAAGCGUUCCAUUCACAACCCGUCAGGGCACCUGCCACGCGUCCCUGGACAGAGGGCCUGUGUCACCUCUUCCAUCCUCACCCGGGGGUGCUGUGCUCUCCCCAUUUUAAAGAUGAGGAAAGUGGGGUCUGGAGAGGCCGGCUAACUUGCUUGAGGCUGAAUGCAUUUAUUCACUCGCUUAACACACGUUUAUUUAACUUCUGCUUCGUGCCAGGCGCGGGACGUACUGAUGGCCGAGACAGACGGGGGCCCUGGGAGCUUGCGUUUUACUGAGGAGGGAAGACAAAGUGAGCGGGUGAAGGACGUGCAGACUGACGGGUGCUGACAGGAGGAGAGGGCGCUGAGGCCGCGGCCUGAGGGGCAGGCGUGACGCGUGUCCUGGGGACAGCGAGGGAAGCCACAUCAGGAACCCAGAGAUGCAGGCCCAGAUCCGGCCCAGGCCCUGCCCCCAAGCUCGGGAAGGGCUUCGUCUUUUUCUGCGUGUGAUGGGAGGUCCUGGAAGUGUUUUAAGCAAGGGAGUAAGACUGUCAGGUCUGAUUUUUGGGAAACAACACUGGGUGGCCGUGGACCACAGAGCAGUGCGCGUCCUUGUUUCUGAGUCAGCCUCGCCCCCUGGACUCAGCAUCUGGCUGGGGAGACUGUAGCUGCCCUGCUCUGUCACUUUCUGUAACCUGAACCCACGUCUGGAACACAGCAGGUGCCUGAUGAACGUCUGAAGGGUGCCCGUGUGCAAGGUGUGUGACCCGUGCCUUUUGGGCCCGGGAGGGGUGAUGGGUGGGUGUCCCCGAGCCUGCGGGAUAGGACACUGCUGACAUCAUCAGCAGUCAGCAGGCGGGGACGUGGAAGCAGGAUGGGUGCCUGACCUGUGGGGUCCGAUGGCCCAGCAGACAGUGCCCCAGUGACCACCAAUGACCUUCUGCGUGUGGCAGGAGUUUGGGAGGCGCGUGUGACGCGGCCCUGCCCUUCUGGGACCGGAGCCGGGCUGAGGAGCGCGGGGCUGUGUGUGCCAGCUUGGGGCCCCUGCUCCCUGGCCCGCCCACGGGGCUCGGAGGGCAGUGGGGUGGAGCAGGGCCCGGGUGUCCCUUGUUAGCAGGGGUGGCGACAGCAGGGAGCCCCACAGGGACCGGGCCACCAGUGCACACCUGGGCUGCACCUGCCUGGAGGAGGGACUCGAGCUGGAGCGGGGGCGGGCUUGAUUUUCCCCCUCAUCCCAGAGGCCACCGCGUUUGACCCCUUCUGACAUUACUGCCCAAGCCAGGAAACGAGAAGGUAACUCCGGAGAAGUUGUCCUUGAGAACGGAAGCCCCGGAGCCAGGCUGCUCCAGGACUGAGCUGGCUUCUUACAAGUCGUGUGACCUUGGGCGAGUGACUUACCCUCCGGGAACCUUUGUAACCUCGUGUGUGAAAUGGGAAUAAAGUGGGCUGACUGUGGGGAGGAAGAAGGUGACUGCACCUGUGAGGGGGCAGGUCCACACCUGUGAGGGGCGGGCCCACACCUGUGAGGGGAGGGGUCCACACCUGUGAGGGGGUGGGCCCACACCUGGCCCGCGGGGCGCAGCGGGGCAGCGAGUCGGGCGAAGAGGACCGUCCCACCCCAGCCACAGACGCUCACGUGUUCACACAGCACUCACACACGCUGAAUACACACACACACACACACACACACACACUUAGGCACACACAUACACCCCUACGCACUAUAUACACCUACACACACUCAUACGCUCACCACAUACCUACUCACUGUAUACACACACACACACCUGCACACACAGUGUAUACACAUACACGCUUACACACUCACAACGUACACACAUGCGUAUACCACAUAGACACAGACGUAUACACACACACACACACACACACACACACACACACACACACACGCUCAUCGUUAGAGAGGCAAAAGCUCUGCUUCGAUGCCCCUUGAAAGGCAGAGAGGAGGCCUCGGGGCUCCGGGUCGGGCAGACUUUCCUCCUCACUUUGGGGUCAGAAACAGGGGAGCAGGUGUUCUUCAUUGAGAAAAUAAAGGGAGGGCCAAGCCACUCUGAAUAAGAAACUGUCCAGAAUUUGGUUUUUGUGUUACUUCGUGAGACAGGACGGGUGUGGUGGGCACGCACCUUCGCGGAAGGCUGGAGCCCAGCGGGAGAAAACCAUCUCUGAGCUCAUGGAUGUCUGAUUCAACUUUAAGUUUUUUGUAUUCUGCUCUGUAAACCCCCUUUGUCUCCACACCUUCAGUAAAGUCUGCUCCACACA
rnacentral:lncRNA from 1 species